rnacentral:rRNA from 1 species
UAGUCCACGCGGUAAACGAUGAGAACUUGUUAUUGGGGGUAUUGACCCCUCCAGUGACGUAGCUAACGCGUUAAGUUCUCCGCCUGGGGAGUACGGUCGCAAGACUAAAACUCAAAGGAAUUGACGGGGGGCCCGCACAAGCGGUGGAUUAUGUGGUUCAAUUCGAAGCAACGCGAAAAACCUUACCUGGGCUUGAAAUCCUACGAACGAUCUAGAGAUAGAUUGGUGCCCUUCGGGGAAUGUAGUGACAGGUGCUGCAUGGCUGUCGUCAGCUCGUGUUGUGAAAUGUUGGGUUAAGUCUCGCAACGAGCGCAACCCCUAUUCGUUAGUUGCCAGCAUUAAGUUGGGCGACUCUAAUGAGACUGCCCGGGUUAACCGGGAGGAAGGUGGGGGAUGACGUCAAGUCCUCAUGGCCCUUAUGUCCAGGGCUACACACGUAAUACAAUGGUGCAUACAGAGGGAAGCGAACUCGCGAGGGUAAGCCAAUCCCAAAAAGCAAUCCUAAGUUCGGAUUGGAGUCUGCAACUCGA